rnacentral:rRNA from 1 species
AUUGAACGCUGGCGGCAGGCCUAACACAUGCAAGUCGAACGAGUGGCGGACGGGUGAGUAAUGUCUGGGAAACUGCCCGAUGGAGGGGGAUAACUACUGGAAACGGUAGCUACUACCGCAUACCAUCGGAUGUGCCCAGAUGGGAUUAGCUAGUAGGUGGGUUAACGGCUCACCUAGGCGACGGUCCCUAGCUGGUCUGAGAGGUUGACCAGCCCCACUUGAACUGAGCCACGGUCCAGCCUCCUACGUGAGUCAGCGGUGGUGAAUAUGGCACAAUGGGCGCAAGCCUGAUGCAGCCGUGCCGCGUGUAUGAAGAAGGCCUUAGGGUUUUAAAGUACUUUCGGCGAGGAGGCGUUACUCGCAGAAGAAGCACCGGCUAACUCCGUGCCAGCAGCCGCGGUAAUUC